GAUGAAGAACGGAGCGAAAUGCGAUAAGUAAUGUGAAUUGCAGAAUUCAGUGAAUCAUCGAAUCUUUGAACGCACAUUGCGCCCGCCAGUAUUCUGGCGGGCAUGCCUGUUCGAGCGUCAUUUCAACCAUCAAGCCCUGCUUGCGUUGGGGUCCUGCGGCUGCCCGCAGGCCCUGAAAACCAGUGGCGGGCUCGCUAGUCACACCGAGCGCAGUAAUACAUCUCGCUUUGGGCGUGCGGCGGGUUCUUGCCGUUAAACACCCCCUUUUUACCAAGGUUGACCUCGGAUCAGGCAGGAAUACCCGCUGAACUUAAGCAUAUCAAUAAGCGGAGGA
rnacentral:misc_RNA from 1 species